GAACGGAGGAUACAAAUUCUGGAAAUGAAGUUCCUUCUCCCCCACCUCAAGGCAAGACUAAUUAGAGACUGUAGGGGAGAAACUGCUCCGACAUCACAAUAUAAGUUGACAUCUGAAGAUUCUAUCAAGGACCAUCUGGCUUCAGAGGCAGCCCUGGAGUAUUUAUUCAAACACUAGCAGCUGGAUACAUACCUGAGAAGUUUAUUAUGCAGAAGCAACAGCAAACUCCAGACUUCCACUCCGUGACCUUUUAAGAUCUAAAUGACCUGGGAGCCAGGAUAUCUCCACAACUGCUGCCUCCUAUAUAAGCCUACCUGAAAUUUUGAUUCUGCUUCAGAGACCCUCCUCCAUGUCCUCUUACUACCGUGAGGUGGAACAGUCUCUCCAGGGCGGCAUAUCUGGCCCCAUCACUGGCUGUCUUUUAAUGGGCAUCAGAGGCUGUUGUAUACAGUAUGCUAUUUUGUUCAGAUUGCUUUUUAUACUGUUUUAAAUGGCUUCUAUUUGUAACAGUACUAUUGGCUAGAUUUGUGAUUGUUCUGUUGUAUCAUUGUGAGCAUUUAUGCACAAUACAUUUGUGUAUACAUACAAUACAUACAUUUUUGUACUCCCUACAAGUAGAAAACUAGACUGCCUCAGAGAUGGUAAGGUGAGAGUCCUUUUCCGGGACAUCUAGUUUUCCAUGUGCCAGAUUUCUCACCCACACGGCAAACACACACACACGUGCAAAUAUGUCAUAUCUGCCACUGCUUACAGUCUGAAGUUCAGGAACUGUUGUGCAAUGUGCUGAGCUGUUUGUCUAAAGAGCCUCCUAGUGGGAGCACUCCAAUGACAUAAAACACUAACAUAAAAGCAGUCUCACAAUGAUAAUAUGCUCAUGGCAUUACUGUUCUAUUAAUGUUUCUAGCCUGUAAAGCUGUGUUUGCACAAGAGAAGCACAGUUAAUGUGUUCUAUAGAUGUCAAGGAUUAUCUGUCGUCAAUAUUUUGAAAGCUCCUUUGAGGGAUUAAUCACUUAACAACUGAGGCAAAUUGAUCUCUGCCCAUCUAAGAUGGAAAGCAUUUUUGAGUGAAUGCUAUGAAAAUAUUGUAACAAGAUAAAAAGGUCAUGAAAAAGUCCAUUCCCUUUGUGUGUAGAAGAAGAUGGGAAGCCAGCUGAUCAAGAAGUGGCUUUGAGUGAUCUGAAGGACUGGGAAAAGAGGGAUUGGCCAAUCCAAUGUACGUCCCUUCUCCUGGCCGCCACUCCCCUCUUAUCACAGCACCAGUGGGGAGCUCUUCCCUUCCAUGGCACCAUGCCUAAGCAGUGAGAAAGACAAUGGAGAAUAAGCUGGGUUUGCUCACUUCUCAAGUCACCUCUUGUUCUCUUACCAAGGAAUGACUCAAAGCUUAUUUACAGAAGAAGAAAAAUUAGUCAUUUCAUCACAAAUAUGUGGAUGUCUUGGCAAACACUCUCCCUGCUUUCUUCUUCAUUAAUAAUAUGAGCUAGACAUGUCGUUUGAAACUGUUUAGGUAAGCAUCUUGAAUUUCAACUUCCAGAGCCAGUUUUUCAGAGGUGAAAAUGCCACCAGAUAGAAUUAGGAAGCCACCCCGAGCAAAUUUUUUCUCUCUGAAAUGAUGUUAUGAAAAAGGGAAGUGUGGUGGGUGGGGGUGGAAGCCCCUAAGACCGAUUUAGUUGGUUCCACCUGGUCACGGGAAGAGACAAUGGCAGAAAAUUCCCGUGGACAACAUUUAGAGCAAGGCAUGGCAUGGGGAAGAUGCAGCGGGACCGUGUCCAAUCAGCAGAGCAGUGCCAGGCCUGAGGAAGCUGCUUUGUUGAGACCAUAGCCUGAGUGGCUGCUAAAGUAGAAGCAGCAGUGGUCUUGUUGGCCAGCAGGUGAUGGCAGCAGCUAAUACCAUUUCUGUUAUUCCAAGUCUGGGAGGGAGGCAGAGGCACAGCGCUACACAUGUUAGGAAGGAAGGGGUCUCUUCUUCUGUUGCCUCUUGGGAAAGAAAUGGGGUAAGCGACACAGAGUGGGUGGCUCACACCUCCCAGCCUCAGUCCCCUUCACAUGGGGGGGGGCAUUUUUCACAAGAAACUGCUUUGUUUCCAGCCUUUGGCACUGGGGCAGCCAUAGCCUGAGACAGUGGGAGCCUUCCCAUCCAAGCCUUCUUUCCUCCUAACUUUCAUCACAUCCUUGUAUGAGAAGAUAUAGAUUAAAAUGAGGCUUGGGGAAGAUUCUGGCCAACAAGAAGGUGAAAUAAAGAAGUGCAUUGUUCCCAGCUGCCAGUGAGGUGACCCUAGAUAAAUGGAGUGGGAAGGAUAGGGUAGGGAGACAGCUAGUCAUGGAAUGUGCAUGGAACUGGCUGGCCCGGUUUGGUUUGAGGCCGUACCAGCCUCAAACACAACUGGGCCAGUUUGGCCCGGCACCCCCUCGAAACCUCCCCCCCGCCGUUCGGUCCGGGAUGGGUGUUGCGAGCUUAGUUUUUUUUAAAAAAAUUGUACCAUUUCCUCCCCUUGGGGGAGUUCCUGGAGGCGGCAGGGGGUCUGCAGAGAUUCCCCCUCCUGCCACUGGCCUUCAAAAUCACCCCCUCGGCUGGUUCGGCUGCUCUUUGGUCAGUUUUCAGCCAUCACCCGGAGGCCUGGAGGCCAUUAUGGAGGCCGUGUGCCUGCACACAUGACCCCUGCAUGGCCCAGGAAUUCCCACAAUUACAUUGAUUUCAAUGAUCCAGUAUUCAUGGUUACCUUAUCCGUGGCAAUGUCAGGGAAUGGAACCCCCGUGAAUACAAAGGUUUUCUUGUAUGUAGUUAUGAUGUAUUUAUUUUCCUGGGUAGGAAUCAUGAAUUGUUUCAUUAGGAUGAUGCUGUAAUUGCCACAUGAUCUUGAAACCAGCUAAUAAUUCUUUUUAUGUUGUCAUUAAGUGUUAACUUAAGAAAUGAAACUGCAAGACUUAAGAAACUGCAAGACUUGAUACGUGAAAGGCACGAAGCUGCUUUUGGACCUCUCUGUUUCACUGUCACUUUAUUCAAGCAAUUUCCAGAAAACACAGACUAAAUUGGCUUGAAUCAUAGUAUUUCCAGAGCGUGAAUGAUGAUUAAUUCACUACAUUUAAGCUACUUAAUAUUAUUAUCAACCUGUGUGGGUGGGUGGGGAUUGUAAGUUAUCUUGGUGACAAGCAGAUUACCUAAAAACAACUACUCUUAAUAAGCAAAGAUAGUGCAUGACUUUGUUACCAACACUGCCCUGGAGCAAUUGGCUAGGCACUCCAGCUAUGUUUUGGGGUUAAAGUGGGAAAAUUAGCUCAGACUGGGGGUACAGUUCUGACACAGUAGCAGUUCUGAUGUAUUGGAAAGAAUAAGGAAAUGUAGGUAUAGUUUCAAGGCUUUACUAAGGGUAAAAAUGGGGAGUUACAGAAGGCAAAAAGAGAGUUUGGUUAGGCAGUUCAAUAAUUUGGCUAGUGUUCUGAAUGAGAGUCUUGGUUAAUUAAUUAAAUAUUGCAAUAAUUUGGCUAAGGUCCUGAAUAAGAACCUGCUUAGAGGCUUGCAAUAAAAAGUGCAUGGAGGGCAAGGAGGGAAGCAGGGGAGAAGUGACAAGAGAGCUUAGAGAGAGGUGAGAUGUUAGUAUUACCUAUCUUUCCUAGGCAUGCUGGUUGUGCGAUGGCCAGGCAAAGGUGCCUCCUCAGGGGUGAAGCAGAAGAAGAAAGAGAGGCAGCAGUCACAGCUCACAGUAUGUGAGAGACAACAGGAUUGCGAGAUCCUAACAGAGUCUGGGGUUCUCUACAGCUCUGAGCCAUGUGGCUCAUGUAGGGCUAAUAUACUGCCAAAUGUGCCCUGAGGCAACUAUUGAUUCAAUCAGGUGUCCAUCCCACCCUGUGGGGCAAGGAGAUCCUUUGCAAAACAAGAGUGUCAAUUGCUAGAUGGACUUAGGCAAUUUAGGUGGGUCCUUCUGGACAAAAGGUGAGAGUAAGCUAUGCAAAUUUGGCUGCAUAAGGAUAAUAAGGUAAUGUUUGCUUACAAUCUCAAAGACUGCAGUUUCUCCAAGUGCAAAAAUAUACAUCUUUUAUUUGUUUAUGCAGUUCCUCCCUUAUCUGCACUAGCCAAAUCAUCAGCUUUAAUGGGGUGAGCAACGGCCAUUUCUGUGCUACUUCUGAGGGGCAUUCCAAUGGUUAUCUCCAAGCAAGAGUGUCUCCUCCCUUAGCAAUUGGUUUUUGAUGGGGGUUAUCCAGCUAGUUCUUCUCAUUAGGGAGGGGCAGCUACAUUUUGUUUCAGUGUGCAGACUCUUUAACCUGAAGGCACGCUGCCAACCUCAGCUUGAGCUUAAUGACCAGCUCAUGCCAGCUCACGUGGUGAAAAGUUCAUGGGAACUAUGAUCUCAUGCUGUUCUUACAUCUAGUGGGGUGCUCCUUGUGCUACCCCCAAACAUGGCUUUCUGGCAACACCUGCAGGGCCAGAAUGUUGCUGCCUCUUAAAAUCCUUUGUAUCUCCAGCUUAGUGAGUAUGACUCUUUCACUCGUCAGUGUCACUGCUGCAGUACUUGGGUUUGGUCCAGUGGCUGCAGCCUUUACUUCUGACCAUAAUGGUUGCUAUCCUGCAACUUGGAUUUCUUCUCGCCGUGCUACUUAACUCCUGGUUCACCUCACAAGGCCAUACCCUCUGUCGAUGGGCUCCCAAACCUACCUGGAACCUCACACAUACCGGCUGUAUAAGUGAUGAGAAAGGAACUCUUGCUUCUCUCACAUUCUCCACCACAGAAUUUCAUUCUGUUUCCAGAAUGGUGAGACAUUCCAGAUAGGCUUGAGAGUUUGUUUCCUUUGGAUGAGAAAGCAUGGGAGAUUUAAGGAGUCUUUGUUAAUUUGCUUUAUUUACAAAUAUAGCAGCGGAACAUAUUGAAAGUAAAUUAACAGUCUUAUAGUAGGCAGCAAAUCUACUAACUCUGCAGCAGAGGAAGCCUCUGCAUUUUAAAGGGCUUCCCCUUAAUCUAGCUUGCAGCCUUUUGCCUUUUUGGGACAAACUGCUUGUGACAUUUAGCAUGUCCUUGACUAGUUGGGAGUUUAUUUUAAAGUAAAAAUAGCAAUUUUGUGGGUGCCUGAUUCCGUCUCUGAAAAUCUUCCCCCAAAGGGUGGAGGAGCAAAUGACACCUU